ensembl:lncRNA
CUAUUCAUCAGUCCCCAUCACUCCACUUUGUCCCCAGACUCAUAUACCCCGUUGGGCCCCAUAGUCAUCGCUGUGGCACCAGUGGCUGUCACCCUGCUCCUGUCUGCAGCCUCCUGCUGGAUCAUCAAGAAAGGUGCUUGUGGGAAGAGAUGCUGUAGUGCUGAGGGAUCUCCUGCCGACCACGAUUCUUACUGUAAGUUUCAGUCCCUUGCACCCUUCCUUUCUAGGCAUUGAGUACAAUGCAGAGAUGAUCCCAAACGCUGUAUUUUAAGUCAGUAUUAUCUUCACGUGCACAUGACAAUCAAUGCUAAUAAAGUUAAUUUUUCAGGAUAUAGUCCCUAUACUAUUCCGGCAUCAUCUCUCUAAACCUCCUUGACAAAUAUGGUCUCAUUCUCUUCACCCUGCUAUACAGUCUCCACUCCUGUAGCUGACACUGCUGGGAAUUUACCACAGUUUCACUUUCAAACUCUACACUGAGCGGACAGUGUUUCAGAGGAAAUGUGUCCGUUGAGAGCACUUUUUUGGGUGAGGACCAUUCUCAGCAACAGAGCAGCCUCCACCCAACAUCGUGCAGAAGCAAAACCCGCCUCCCUACAACACAGGGCAUUUCCUUGGGGCUGCAAGGCAGACCUCAGGAGCCGCUGUAGGAAGCUGUUAAGGGUGAUGAUUUUGGCAGAGGAUGCCCAUGGGUGCAGUUGUGCUGGUGGCUGGGGAAG